GCAAAAUUCAUAUAACAAAUAUUGGUUUACACAGUAGCAAAAAUGCACAAAUAGCUUCAGUUACUAACCAUCAAUGUGAAUAUAUGAUAGAACAAAUAGAAAACACAGUAUCAGGAAGCCAAAUACAAGGUUCAGGAGCACAAAUAGCAUCACAAAUACAUGGUGCAGGUCCCAGAAGCACAAAUACAAGGUUCAGGAGCAGAAAUACAAGGUUCAGGAUCUUCAGGUGCACAAAUAGCAGCAGAAAUACAAGGUUCAGCAGCAGCACAAAUACACAAAUACAAGGUUCAGGUUGAGUAGUUGUGUGCCAACAAGCUAGCACUAGCAAGUAGUAGUGUAGCAGCCCAUGGAUAAAUGUAAAUAGCAGCAUGUAGUAGUGUAGCACGCCGGGUCGUCGGCCUUCUCGUCACAACCAAGCAGCAACAACACCAUCAUAGAGUCAUGUUUCAGGCUUCGGUUAAGAUGGAUUGAUCAUCAACCUCCUGAAAC
rnacentral:lncRNA from 1 species